UACGUAGGGUGCGAGCGUUGUCCGGAAUUAUUGGGCGUAAAGGGCUCGUAGGCGGUUUGUCGCGUCGGGAGUGAAAACCAGGUGCUUAACACCUGGCUUGCUUUCGAUACGGGCAGACUAGAGGUAUGCAGGGGAGAACGGAAUUCCUGGUGUAGCGGUGAAAUGCGCAGAUAUCAGGAGGAACACCGGUGGCGAAGGCGGUUCUCUGGGCAUGACCUGACGCUGAGGAGCGAAAGCAUGGGGAGCGAACAGG
rnacentral:rRNA from 1 species